CUGGAGAGAGAGUCAAAAAGACCGCGAAACCGUUAGGAGGGAAACGAAUGCAGCUGAAUUAGCUCUGCUCAAGCUCAGGAGCGAUUGUUGGUGGGCGAUGCCGGUGCGCAAAAGCCGAUAGGCUUUGCUAUCCGGAUAGCCGUCAACUCCUCUGCACUCUUGUGCAAGCUGGCCAACAACAGUUGCCCGUGGCUGACGAGGGCGGUUGGGUAGGUAGUUACUCCUCGGAGUGAAACUUAUAGCCAUCCGUCUGCAAGUCGGGGACGACUGAGGAUAACUGGCAGUGCAGGCCUCUGGCUUUGGGCCGCUUCUGGCCGUUUGGGCACCGCUGCAGGGACUGCGAGCAGUGUCUGUUGACGGAUGUCUGCUCGGACGGGAGACUGGUCACACCUUGCGCUGUAGUUGUUGGUGAUCAAAUGGCUGCAUCCGACCCGUCUG
rnacentral:rRNA from 1 species